GGGAAACUGAGGCUAAUGCACCAUAGGCGGGGAAGUCUGGAACGGCUCUCCGCUGAAAGCUCCGGCGCGCGAGGAUGGGGCUGCGGCCGAUUAGGUUGUAGGUAGUGUAACGGACCACCUAGCCUUCGAUCGGUACGGGACGUGGGAGCGUGAGCCUGGAGAUGGGUACUGAGACAAGGACCUGGGCCCUAAGGGGCGCAGCAUUCGCGAAAACUCCGCAAUGCGCGAAAGCGUGACGGGGGAACCCCAAGUGCCAGCACAAUGUGCUGGCUUUUCUGGAGUGCAAACAGCUCCAGGAAUAAGGGCUGGGUAAAACCGGGUGCCAGCCGGCCGCGGGUAACCCCGGCAGCCCGAGUGAUGUCCGCGUUCAUUGGGCUUAAAGCGUUCGUAGCCGGCCCGUUAAGUCCCUGGUCAAAUCCGACGGCUCAACCGUCGGCUAUCCUGGGGAUACUGGCCGGGCUUUGAGGCCGGGAGAAGGUCAAGAGGUACUCCUGGGGGUAGGGGUAAAAUCCGAUAAUCCUGGGGGGACCACCAGUGGCGAAGGCGUCUGACUGGAACGGGCCUGACGGUGAGGGACGAAACCCUGGGGAGCGAUCCGGAUUAGAUACCCGGGUAGUCCAGGGCGUAACGAUGUGGCUGGUGUGGGUCAAUCAGAAGGAUUGAUCUGUGCCGAAGCGAAAGCGAUAGUCCACCGCCCGGGAGUACGGUCGCAAGGCUGAAUUCCGUUA
rnacentral:rRNA from 1 species